ensembl:lncRNA
CCUGUUUGUUGGUAGAUCCUUUCAUGUUACAGACAUAACAACAAUGCUACGGGAAACAAUCCACACUUGUUGUUUUAUUUUGAAUUCCGAAGUUUUAAUCUGUCUGAAUCAAAUACAGUAAUAUGGAGCGGCAUCAGUCCGAGUCAAGAAUCUGUCAGAUCGCAAGCGCUACCACCCUGACUGCUGUGUCAGUCCUUCGCUGAUGAAGAGCUGCUUGGUUCAGGAGGAACGACCUUGGAGUUGAAUGUGGCUCUACGCAGAUGGCUUCAACACCUGUUUAACUGCAUCCUGUCUUGAAAAUGCCUUGGCGUCAUCAGUGUGAAUGAAUAGCGACGAGCUCCUGCUAUUGAGGCGUCACAUCUGGGACCCUUGCAACAAACGGCAGAAAGGCCUCACACAAUUCACCGAGAAUACAAAUUCAUCAAUUGAUGUUGAAGUCGUGUUCCUCCACGAGCCUUUUGGCUUCUAUGCUGAAAGCUAAAAUGCACC